rnacentral:lncRNA from 1 species
AACCAUGUUGCAGACACUCAGUACGGAACAUGGAGUCCCUAGUGGUUGACAUGGAUGCUUUUCUCCCCAGGAAGUUUCCUUCAUAUAAAUUUUUGCGGUAGAAUUUGGUUAUUAAGUCUUAUCUCUGUAUGUCCCUCAAAAGCCUAAUGGGCUCAUAGGUUCCUAACUAAAACUGCAUCACAAGAAAUGCCACCUGUCUCUUCAAUUAAAAAGCAGAAGAUAAAUUGUUGGACCUUGAAUCAUUGCUGAUGCUUCUACAAGGGAUACCAUUCAAGUGUGUCAGAGUUGGACAUCUUGCCUCUCCCAAAAGAGGUUUAAAAGUGAAACGAAAACCACAAACAAGAGUAGAAAUGGGCUGUCCUGAAGUCUCUUGCCACAAAGAAGAAGGAGGAAGAGAAGAAGAAAACAAAAGGAGGAAAAGAGAGAGAAGGAUGUAGAAGAAGAGGAAGAAAAGAUAAAGGUAGGGAACCAGCCUUGGGGAAAUAAAAAACUGAGACCUCCACA